CCUACGGGAGGCAGCAGUAGGGAAUAUUGGGCAAUGGAGGCAACUCUGACCCAGCCAUGCCGCGUGCAGGAUGAAGGCGUUAUGCGUUGUAAACUGCUUUUAUAUGGGAAGAAAGAGUUCUUGCGAGAACAGUUGACGGUACUAUAUGAAUAAGCACCGGCUAACUCCGUGCCAGCAGCCGUGGUAAUACGGAGGGUGCAAGCGUUGUCCGGAUUUAUUGGGUUUAAAGGGUGCGUAGGCGGUUUAUUAAGUCAGUGGUGAAAGACGGUCGCUCAACGAUUGCAGUGCCAUUGAUACUGGUAGACUUGAGUGAGAUUGAGGUAGCUGGAAUGGAUAGUGUAGCGGUGAAAUGCAUAGAUAUUAUCCAGAACACCAAUUGCGUAGGCAAGUUACUAAGUCUCAACUGACGCUGAGGCACGAAAGUGUGGGGUAUCAAACAGGAUUAGAUACCCUGGUAGUCCACACUGUAAACGAUGAUAACUAACUGUUGGCUUUUGGGUCAGUGGUACAGAGAAAUCGUUAAGUUAUCCACCUGGGGAGUACGCCGGCAACGGUGAAACGUCAAAUGAAUUGACGGCUGAGAGNGCGAGNGACGACGAGGGAGAGG
rnacentral:rRNA from 1 species